UGGGGCCGGGGUUGGGACCGGGACCGGGACCGGGACCGGGAUCGGGAUCGGGAUCGGGAUCAGGACGGGGACCAACCCCGCGGGGCUGAGUCCUCAGAGUAGGCAGGGGGGUCCUGGCGGUUCCCCUCAGGGGACCCUCAGCCAGCGCGUCCCGCCCCGGCGCUGCCGCCCCCACCAAGGGCUUAGGGAGCGCCUGGCACAGGUGGAAGUGCCCCCGGAUCGUGCCCUGCCCGCGCACAGCUGGAAUUUGUGUUCGCCCCCCUCGCUGCUCUUUAUUCCCCCCCUCACGGCUCUGUAGUCUGAGGUUACAGUUCUGGGCACUUCACUUCUUCCCUGCGCUUCCCACCUUUCAUCAGCCUCGGAAAACUGAGCCUCGAGCUGAGUUUUCCGCCCGGACCGACUGCUCUGCACACACUAGAGCUUGAGAGAAGCUUUAAAGGCAAAUUGCUGGAGACACAGAGAC